GAUUCUGUGUCUCCCUCUCUCUUUGCCCCUUCCCUGCUCAUGCUCUGUCUCUCUCUGUCUCAAAAAUAAAUACAAACAUUAAAAAAAAUUUUUUUUGUUUAAAUAAUGUGAUUCGAUAGGUCUGGUUAGGGCCCAAGAAACUGCAUUUUUACCAAUGAUGAGGUGAUGUUAAUGCUGCCACUUUACAGAUCACAUUUUGAGCAGCAAUAAAGCAUCUCCCAGGUUCAAAUUUUGUCUUAUCACGAGUUUCCCCUUAUAUCUGUAUCCAAGCUUGAUACUCUUCCCUGUGGAUAAUUUAUAGUGUAGUUCCCCGGCUUACUCUGAAUCCUGGCUUUUACCGUUUACUCAAGCAGAGUGAUCUUGAGGAAAUUCACUCGUUACUGCUUCCUUUGUGAGGUUGUUACGUAAGAUUAAGUGAAAUAACGUAUGUAAAGUGCUUAGCAUGGUACCUGUUGUACGUUUAUGGUUGCUGAUUGUUUUGAUAGCAAUGAGCAUAAAUGUGAUGGUAAGAAAUUGAGUGGAAAGAGAAUACAGGCGUGUCUUCUCAA